rnacentral:lncRNA from 1 species
AGAAGGUGGAAGACCUGGAUGCUUCAUACUUUGUAUACAGAUGCUUCAUGUUACGAAGUUUCCGUCAGUCACAUGUCCAAUGUCCUUGACCUCAUUUUCAUGGUUCAGUGACCACUUGGAAAAAAAGUUCAAUUUUUUGUAAUGUUGAAUUCUCUCUUAUUAUAAGUAAUAGGAUAACUAUAUUUGAUAUGUGCGUACCUUGCAAGGUCCUUAUGUCUGUCAGACAGUUUUCACUUGACCUCGACCUCAUUUCAUGGAUCAGUGAACAAGGUUAAGUUUUGGUGGUCAAGUCCAUAUCUCAGAUACUAUAAGCAAUAGGGCUAGUAUAUUCGGUGUAUGGAAGGACUGUAAGGUGUACAUGUCCAACUGGCAGGUGUCAUCUGACCUUGACCUCAUUUUCAUGGUUCAGUGGUUAUAGUUAAAUUUUUGUGUAUUGGUCUGUUUUUCUCAUACUAUAUGCAAUAGGUCUACUAUAUUUGUUGUAUGGAAUGAUUGUAAGGUGUACAUGUCUAGCGGGCAGAUGUCAUGUGACCUUGACCUCAUUUUCAUGAUUCAGUGGUCAAAGUUAAGUUUUUGAGUUAUGGUUUUUUUAUCUAAUACUAUAUGCCAUAGGUCAACUAUAUUUGGUGUAUGGAAAUAUUUUAUGAUCUUUAUGUCAGUCGCCCAGGUUUUAUUUGACCUUGACCUCAUUUUCACGGUUCAUUGCACAGUGUUAAGUUUUUGUGUUUUGGGCUGUUUUUCUUAAACUAUAAGUAAUGGGUCAACUAUAUAUGUUGUAUAGAAGCAUUGUUAGCUGUACAUGUCUGCCUGGCAUGGUUCAUCUGACCUUGACCUCAUUUUCAAGGUUCAUUAAUCUUUGUUUAGUUAUCUUGGUUAAUGUUAAGUUUAUGUGACAGUUGUAAUAAAGCUUAGCUUUAUACUUAGGACUAUCAACAUGAUAUCAAUGAUUAGUAUAGAAGGCGAGACAUUUCAGCGUGUGCACUCUUGUU